rnacentral:tRNA from 1 species
GGGGUUAUAGGUCAGUGGUAGAACAUGUGCCUAGCAUGCACAAGGUCCUGGAUUCAAUCCCCAGUAUCGCCA